rnacentral:rRNA from 1 species
UGUGACUGCGUACCUUUUGUAUAAUGGGUCAGCGACUUAUAUUCUGUAGCAAGGUUAACCGAAUAGGGGAGCCGAAGGGAAACCGAGUCUUAACUGGGCGUUAAGUUGCAGGGUAUAGACCCGAAACCCGGUGAUCUAGCCAUGGGCAGGUUGAAGGUUGGGUAACACUAACUGGAGGACCGAACCGACUAAUGUUGAAAAAUUAGCGGAUGACUUGUGGCUGGGGGUGAAAGGCCAAUCAAACCGGGAGAUAGCUGGUUCUCCCCGAAAGCUAUUUAGGUAGCGCCUCGUGAAUUCAUCUCCGGGGGUAGAGCACUGUUUCGGCAAGGGGGUCAUCCCGACUUACCAACCCGAUGCAAACUGCGAAUACCGGAGAAUGUUAUCACGGGAGACACACGGCGGGUGCUAACGUCCGUCGUGAAGAGGGAAACAACCCAGACCGCCAGCUAAGGUCCCAAAGUCAUGGUUAAGUGGGAAACGAUGUGGGAAGGCCCAGACAGCCAGGAUGUUGGCUUAGAAGCAGCCAUCAUUUAAAGAAAGCGUAAUAGCUCACUGGUCGAGUCGGCCUGCGCGGAAGAUGUAACGGGGCUAAACCAUGCACCGAAGCUGCGGCAGCGACACUGUGUGUUGUUGGGUAGGGGAGCGUUCUGUAAGCCUGUGAAGGUGUGCUGUGAGGCAUGCUGGAGGUAUCAGAAGUGCGAAUGCUGACAUAAGUAACGAUAAAGCGGGUGAAAAGCCCGCUCGCCGGAAGACCAAGGGUUCCUGUCCAACGUUAAUCGGGGCAGGGUGAGUCGACCCCUAAGGCGAGGCCGAAAGGCGUAGUCGAUGGGAAACAGGUUAAUAUUCCUGUACUUGGUGUUACUGCGAAGGGGGGACGGAGAAGGCUAUGUUGGCCGGGCGACGGUUGUCCCGGUUUAAGCGUGUAGGCUGGUUUUCCAGGCAAAUCCGGAAAAUCAAGGCUGAGGCGUGAUGACGAGGCACUACGGUGCUGAAGCAACAAAUGCCCUGCUUCCAGGAAAAGCCUCUAAGCAUCAGGUAACAUCAAAUCGUACCCCAAACCGACACAGGUGGUCAGGUAGAGAAUACCAAGGCGCUUGAGAGAACUCGGGUGAAGGAACUAGGCAAAAUGGUGCCGUAACUUCGGGAGAAGGCACGCUGAUAUGUAGGUGAAGUCCCUCGCGGAUGGAGCUGAAAUCAGUCGAAGAUACCAGCUGGCUGCAACUGUUUAUUAAAAACACAGCACUGUGCAAACACGAAAGUGGACGUAUACGGUGUGACGCCUGCCCGGUGCCGGAAGGUUAAUUGAUGGGGUCAGCGCAAGCGAAGCUCUUGAUCGAAGCCCCGGUAAACGGCGGCCGUAACUAUAACGGUCCUAAGGUAGCGAAAUUCCUUGUCGGGUAAGUUCCGACCUGCACGAAUGGCGUAAUGAUGGCCAGGCUGUCUCCACCCGAGACUCAGUGAAAUUGAACUCGCUGUGAAGAUGCAGUGUACCCGCGGCAAGACGGAAAGACCCCGUGAACCUUUACUAUAGCUUGACACUGAACAUUGAGCCUUGAUGUGUAGGAUAGGUGGGAGGCUUUGAAGUGUGGACGCCAGUCUGCAUGGAGCCGACCUUGAAAUACCACCCUUUAAUGUUUGAUGUUCUAACGUGGACCCGUGAUCCGGGUUGCGGACAGUGUCUGGUGGGUAGUUUGACUGGGGCGGUCUCCUCCUAAAGAGUAACGGAGGAGCACGAAGGUUGGCUAAUCCUGGUCGGACAUCAGGAGGUUAGUGCAAUGGCAUAAGCCAGCUUGACUGCGAGCGUGACGGCGCGAGCAGGUGCGAAAGCAGGUCAUAGUGAUCCGGUGGUUCUGAAUGGAAGGGCCAUCGCUCAACGGAUAAAAGGUACUCCGGGGAUAACAGGCUGAUACCGCCCAAGAGUUCAUAUCGACGGCGGUGUUUGGCACCUCGAUGUCGGCUCAUCACAUCCUGGGGCUGAAGUAGGUCCCAAGGGUAUGGCUGUUCGCCAUUUAAAGUGGUACGCGAGCUGGGUUUAGAACGUCGUGAGACAGUUCGGUCCCUAUCUGCCGUGGGCGCUGGAGAACUGAGGGGGGCUGCUCCUAGUACGAGAGGACCGGAGUGGACGCAUCACUGGUGUUCGGGUUGUCAUGCCAAUGGCACUGCCCGGUAGCUAAAUGCGGAAGAGAUAAGUGCUGAAAGCAUCUAAGCACGAAACUUGCCCCGAGAUGAGUUCUCCCUGACCCUUUAAGGGUCCUGAAGGAACGUUGAAGACGACGACGUUGAUAGGCCGGGUGUGUAAGCGCAGCGAUGCGUUGAGCUAACCGGUACUAAUGAACCGUGAGGCUUAACCUU